ACCACAGUAACAGAUAGGUUUGUGAUGGAUGGGCUGGCAGAACCAACAUAUUUUACAGGGGUUAAUAAGAGUUUUGUAGCUGUUAUUUAUUACCAGGACAGGGAACGCCUACAUGUGUCCUUAUCUCUUAUUGCAGUAGUAACGCUUGUCUUGAAAACCAGCUCAUCAGCUUUCCUCCAGGCACUUGUCUGCUUUUCCCCUCCUUACAGUUUCUCUAGGCCAUGCUGCCCAUUUAGCAUUUCCCUGAACUACAAGGGACAGACUGAGUGUCUGGGAAUGUACAUACAAUUCAUAUGACCCGAAACAGCCUGCAUUUUUUUUUCCCCCUGUUACUGGAUCACUCAGGUGUUCCUGCUUUGAAUCUCCCUCUUUGUUACCUACCAGGCCAUUCGUGGCUGGAAGGUUGUCGGACAGGGGCAGUUUGACAGAGCAUGCACAGCACAAAGGAGCAGUCUGACCUGCUCACAGCUCCACGCGCUGCUGCUCCAGUGACAGCGGUGAUUUUUCAUGCCUGUUAUUGGAAGACGAAAGGAACUGGUUGCAGUAAGCCACAUAUUAAUCAGGAGCUUUUGGGAACCUUUUCCUGUUUGUUUUCCUCUCCGAGUGACUCGCCUCUGAGCAGGACACUUUGCAGCCCCGAGCCUAUGUCAGCCCUGCUGGGGUCUGGCAUUUGUCAGUCACUCCGAAGACGGGAGCUCAACUGAGAGGUUUUCCCAGCUGCCAAACAUUGUUCCUACUAUGGGAGGCUUUUGGUCCCAACCUUAUAGAAGCUGUCAGUGCUCUGGCUGCUGGGCAAUGCUUCUGCCAGCCCGGGGGUGAAAAAGGAAAGACAGGGUUGUCCAAGUCUCUGGCCAGAUAACGCCCGGAUUUCACCGCCACGUGAUGCAGCUGUUCAGCAGCUUGUGCAUGCAAACGCUGUUGAAAACCAAAAGGGCAUGAGAGAAAAGGAAGAAACGGUUUUUUUUCUGCUCUCCCCUCCUCUGCCUGUUUUUGUCAUGCUGCUGUUCUCCUGCCCUGCUCCUCAGCUAUUUGGCAGAAUCGCUGCCAUUGCAAAUGUACGUGACUAAUCUGUUACUUGAGGAAACGAUUCACAGGCAUGAAUGACCUAGGCGGUCAGGGAGCUGAUGGGAUCCUGUGCUGGGAGGGUGUUUUGGGGAUUCUGGGGGUUUGGUGUGCUUUUUUUUUUCCUUUCCCCUAAAAGGUUGCUCCCUCUGUUAACUGAUGGGAGAGAGAUGACCAUCGGAGUGGGAGAUGCACGGAUAGGGUCUCUGUUAAAGAGGUGGCCACCCUCUUCCCAGCCCCAGGGGCAGAUGUGCUGCACCAGGACUGCACGUCCCCCUUCCUCCCCAGCCACGUGGAUGCCGUUCCCUUGCGGUGGCACGGCGCCAUCAGCCACAGUGCGCUCGCCGGAGUGCAGAGGCUCUGGAAGGUCUGGGUGUGAGACUAGGGCAGAUCCUUACUCGUUCGUCUCCCAACCAGCUCAGGCAGACACCCGAGGCCGUGGGACCGGAAUGCUCUGACCUGAAUACAGCCAGGCACUGUCCCUCCAAGGCCGGUCCUCGCCUCCCUCCACCUCUUUGCUUUGCUCCGUUUCAGCUGUGCAUCCUUAAGUGAUUCAGGGGCUCCGGGCCAAAGGGCUCUUUGCCCCGCUGGGCUGAUCCUGAAGAGAAACAGUGAUGUGCCAGGAGGUCUGGGAGGCGAAUGUCAUUUCAUCACUGUUCUCCCGGGAGAGUAAUGUCCGUAGCCAGACAUAUGCUCAUGGCCUGGAAUGAAGUCGACUGCAAUUACGUCCUGAGGGAGUCACUCAACGGGGGUUUUGUGGAGGCAGGACGCAGGCUCUGGUGGAGCUGCACAUGUGCUGUUAGACCUCCAACUGCUCUCCCUCUGCCUUCAGCUUUGUGGGAAUGAGGAGCAGCAGGCUCAGAAAUACAGCCAGUCUGGUGCACAUCUGGAGACAGUAAUUGGAGGCGCCCCAUGGCAGGUGCUACAGAGGCGAAAACCAGCACUCCUGCAGAGACAGAUUAGCAGCACACUAAAUGAUCUCCCUCGUCCUUGUGCACUCCAGAGCCCGGAAACUCCCCCAUCUCUCCAGCCUUGCAGCCCAGCUGUCCCAAACUCCAGGCAGCAGGAUGGAUAACAGCAGGCUGCUCUCUGCACUGCAGCCCAGGCGAUGGAGGAGAUAAUGGGAAUGAUUUCUGGGUACAAGUACAAGCAUGAAUCCUCUGAAGAAAUACUAAGUCUAGUUGUGGUGGGGAAAAAAAAGAAAAAUAAAGCAAAUGCACACACUAGCGCACACACAACCUCGACCUCAUGUAACGUUGGAGGGUUUGGUUCUUUUUUUUUUUCUCAGCUGCUGGUCCUUGAACUCCUCCCAGUGUGGCUCCACCACUGGAGCAACAGCUGGUGUGCUGAGGUGCAGUGCAGGGCUGCCAGCUCUCCUCACUGCAGAUCAAGCCUUGCACACUGUUGCUGGGGUUUUCCUUGGAGCCCUCGUGCCUCUCUGCCAGAGUGCUUGGAUUGUGUGAGAAUUGUAUCUUUUGAUGGAAGAAAAAGUGUUUCAGACUCAUUUGACUGUGCCGGCUGAGCUGAGCCACUUCUGACUUGCCCUCCUGAAGGUGAACAGAGGACAAGGCUGUGGGGUGGGCUGGCUGACAGCUCGGUUUCAUCCUCUGCUGCAGCAGCCUGGCUGAGGUAAAGGUCUUUGCUCAUGGUUGUUAUUGGUUCCAUAUUUACUUGGGAUCUUUGCAUGCAGAGGACGGCUUUUGGCUUGUGAAGAGGAACUUCUGGGAGGCUGGACUGUUUCCCCUCACACUCCUGAGUCUCUCCUAGAUUGUGUGUAAUGCUCAGAAAGGCUUCUAGGGACAAGGUGCUUUUCUGUCUUGAAGAGAAAAUUCUGCAAGCUCAUUAAUAAAGGCCAGAUAAAAUAAAGCUUGGAAAGUCAACAUGUUCAAGAAAUUAUGCUGUUCUGGGAAACAAGUAGAGAGGAGGUGUGUAUUUAUGUGGACAAAAGCAGCCCAAACUGUAAACCAUAAUAUAUCUGUUAGCUCAUUAAUGUGUCUGAUGCUGACUAAUUCCAGGGGUGUUCCUGCUGCCCAGCAGCAAAAGUGCAAAUAAGUGGACAGCUGUGAUUUAGUGCCAAAUAUUUGAACACAUCGUGACAAUUCAGGCCACCCACUCUCUUAAGUAAAUACAACUCCUGGACAAUCAUUUCAAACUGGGCUGAAGUGCAGAGCAGCCACUUUCAUGUGCAUCUCAGCCAAAUGGCCCUUAGGUAUUUGGGGCCAAACUUUGCCUUCUGUUACACCCCGGGAGCCCUCAUUCACUCAAGGGUUUGCACUAUGUAGCUGAGGGGCAGAGCUGACUCUUGAUGCUAAUCUGACUUUUUCUAGCUCAGUAAGUACAAUUUCACAUGUAAAUGUAAAUGUGGAACAGAUCUGGACUCGAUUAGCUCCUGAAUCCUUGACAAAAAGCCAUAAUUGUUUAUCCAGAUGAUAUUUCUUUCUCUCUCUUUUGUUUUUUCUACACUUUAAACCCAAGGUUUUAAUGGGCUUGUGAAAUAAAUACAUGAGUGUAGAUUGCAGUGGUAUCAAAAAUGUGAGGGAAGCCCUUCCCUUCUCCUCAGCAGGACUAAAUGAUCACUUGGUGCUCACUUCAGUUGUGCUCUCCAGAGCCUUGGGCAGGGGUGGCUGCGGAUCUGACUGACGGUGGGAGGGAGGGUAUUUCCAAGACAACACUUAGCCUGGGGCUCUCAUUACAGAUGUGAAGGACCUGUGAUAUAUAUCUUUUUUUUUCCUGGUAGGCAGUGAAAUCUAUGCUAGUGGCUAUAUCUGGGGCACAGGGCUGUUGGGGGAGGAGAAAAGCAAGGGAAUAUGGAAAAAUUGUAUUUAUCAGGGUAAUCUAGUUUAGGAGCACAAGUACUAAAACAUUUUAAUCACAGUCAUACGGCUGUGUGUCACUUCAGGGCAGAAUUAAGGCUAUUUGUAUUCCUUGGUAGCACACUGCCACACGUCAACAAGUUUGAAUUUAUUUUAAGCGUAACUUUAACUCUGAAUUCCCUGGGUUUUGUAAUGUCUGGUCUGGAAAUAAAUGCAACCUCUUUAUAUUGUAUUUUACUCUUAAAA